UACGGAGGGGGCUAGCGUUGUUCGGAAUUACUGGGCGUAAAGCGCACGUAGGCGGCUUUGUAAGUUAGAGGUGAACGCCCAGGGCUUAACCCUGGAAUUGCCUUUAAGACUGCAUCGCUAGAAUCGUGGAGAGGUGAGUGGAAUUCCGAGUGUAGAGGUGAAAUUCGUAGAUAUUCGGAAGAACACCAGUGGCGAAGGCGACUCACUGGACACGUAUUGACGCUGAGGUGCGAAAGCGUGGGGAGCAAACAGG
rnacentral:rRNA from 1 species